rnacentral:rRNA from 1 species
GAUGAACGCUAGCGAUAGGCUUAACACAUGCAAGUCGAGGGGCAGCAUGGUCUUAGCUUGCUAAGACUGAUGGCGACCGGCGCACGGGUGCGUAACGCGUAUGCAACUUGCCUCACAGAGGGGGAUAACCCGUCGAAAGACGGACUAAUACCGCGUACACUUGGGAUAGGGCAUCCUGACCCAAGGAAAUGAAAUUCGCUGUGAGAUAGGCAUGCGUCCCAUUAGCUAGUUGGUGAGGUAACGGCUCACCAAGGCGACGAUGGGUAGGGGAACUGAGAGGUUGAACCCCCACACUGGUACUGAGACACGGACCAGACUCCUACGGGAGGCAGCAGUGAGGAAUAGUGGUCAAGGGGCGAGAGCCUGAACCAGCCAAGUCGCGUGAAGGAUGACUGUCUUAUGGAUUGUAAACUUCUUUUAUACGGGAAUAACAAGAGUCACGUGUGGCUCCCUGCAUGUACCGUAUGAAUAAGCAUCGGCUAACUCCGUG